UUUCAUAUUUUUGAGUUCAGUUCAAGGCAGCUUUCGUAUUAUGCUAAUUAAACUUUGGGACAUUGAAAUUGGCAAAGAAAUGAUUGGGUAGAGAGUAUUACUCUAUUCAUACAUUUCCUAUUCUACCUACACCA